UAAGUAGGUAGUGAAAUCUGGUGGCUCAACCAUUCAGACUGUUACCUAAACUGACAGACUCGAGAGCGUUAGGGUAGCUGGAAUUUCUAGUGUAGGAGUGAAAUCCGUAGAUAUUAGAAAGAACACCGAUAGCGUAGGCAGGCUACUGGGACGUUUCUGACACUAAGGCACGAAAGCGUGGGGAGCAAACGGGAUUAGAUACCCCGGUAGUCCACGCUGUAAACGAUGGAUGCUA
rnacentral:rRNA from 1 species